UACGUAGGGGGCAAGCGUUGUCCGGAUUUAUUGGGCGUAAAGAGCGUGUAGGCGGCCUGAAAGGUCAGCUGUGAAAACUCGAGGCUCAACCUCGAGACGUCGGUUGAAACCAUCUGGCUAGAGUCCGGAAGAGGAGAGUGGAAUUCCCGGUGUAGCGGUGAAAUGCGUAGAUAUCGGAAGGAACACCAGUGGCGAAAGCGGCUUCCUGGUCCAGCACCGACGUUCAGGCACGAAAGCGUGGGGAGCAAACAGG
rnacentral:rRNA from 1 species